rnacentral:lncRNA from 1 species
CUCCAGGAAUGUACAGAAUCUAAAGCCAUGAAUCCCUCUACCGGUGACAGAAACCACAGAAAAAAACAACACGAUAUGGGCACACCUUGGAGAUGUGGCAGAUUCCAGAACACCACAAUAAAGCAAAUGUCACAAUAAACAAUGUUCACAGCAUCUUCACCAGGAGCAGUUUCCAUUUCAAGAAACCACUUUCUUAGUUCAUCCAGAAGAAGCAACUCCUCAUCUGUUAAAGUUUUAUCAUGAGAUUGUGGCAAUUCAGUCCCAUCUUCAGGCUCUACUUCUAAUUCUAGUGCUCUUGCUAUAUCUGCCACAUCUGCUGUUGCUUCCUCCACUGAGGUCUUGAACCCCUCAAAGUCAUCCAUGAAGGUUGGAAUCAACUUCUUCCAAACUCCUGUUAGGGUUGAUAUUUGUGACCUCUUCCCACGAAUCAUGAGUGUUCUUAACGGCAUCUAGAAUGAAAACCUUUCCAGAAGGUUUUCAAUUUACUUUGCCCAGAUGCCUCUGAGGAAUCACUAUCUAUGGCAGCUAUAGCCUUAUGAAAUAUAUUUCUUAAAUAAUAAGACUUGAAAGUUGAAAUUUCUCCUUAAUCCAUGGGCUGUAGAAUGGAUGUUGUGUUAGCAGGCAUGAAAACAAUAUCAGUCUUGUGUACAUCUCCAUCAGAGCCCUUGGGUGAGCAGGUACACUGUCAACGAACAGUAAUGUUCUGAAAGGAAUCUUUUUUCUGAGCUGUAGUCUCAAAGGUGGGCUUAAAAUAUUCAGUAAACCAUGUUGUAAACAGAUGUGCUGUCGUCCUGGCUUUGUUGUGCCAUUUAUAGAGCACAGGCAGAGUAAAUUUAGCAUAAUUCUUAAGGGCCCUAGGAGUUUUGAAUUGGUAAAUGAGCAUUGGCUUCAACUUCAAGUCACCAGCUGCAUUAGUCCCUAACAAGAGAGUUGGCCUGUCCUUUGAAGCUUUGAGGCCAGGCAUUGACUUCUCCUCUCUAGCUAUAAAAGUCCUAGACGGCAUCUUUUUCCAAUACACGGCUGUUUCGUCUACAUUGAAAAUCUGUUGUUUAGUGUAGUCACCUUCAUUAACUAUCUUAGCUGGAUCAUCUGGAUAACUCGCUGCAGCUUCUACAUCAGCACUUGCUGCUUCAGCUUGUAUGUUUAUGUCAUGGAGAUGGUUUCUUUCCUGAAACCUCGUGAACCAACUUCUAGCUUCCAACUUUUCUUCUGCAGCUUCCUCACCACUCUUGGUCUUCAUAGAAUUGAAGAGUUAGGCCCUUCUCUGGAUGAGGCUGUGGCUUAAGAGAAUUUUGUGGCUGGUUUGAUCUAUCCAGACAGCUAAAACUUUCUCCACAUCAGCGAUAAGCCUAUUUCACUUUCUUCUCAUUUGUGUGUUCACUGGAGUAGCACUUUUAAUUUCCUUCAAGAACUUUUCUUUGCAUUCACAACUUGGCUAACUUUUUAGUAUAAGAGGCCUAUCUUUCAGCCUAUCUCAGCUUUUGACAUGCCUUCUUCACUAAGCUUAAUUAUUUCUAGGUUUUUUUUUUUUAAGAUUUUAUUUUUUUUUCCUUUUUCUCCCCAAAGCCCCCUGGUACAUAGUUGUGUAUUUUUUAGUUGUGGGUCCUUCUAGUUGUGGCAUGUGGGAUGCCACCUCAGCAUGGCUUGAUGAGUGGUGCCAUGUCUGCGCCCAGGAUUUGAACUGGUGAAACCCUGGGCUGCCAAAGCAGAGCACACAAACUUCACCACUGGGCCACGGGGCCAGCCCCUAUUUCUAGCUUUUGAUUUAAAGUGAGAGAUGUGCAACUCUCCUUUUCACUUGAACACUUAGAGGCCAUUGUAGGGUUAUUAAAUGGCCUAAUUUUAAUAUUAUUGUGUCUCAGGGAAUAGGAAGGCCCAAGGAGAGGAAGAGAGAUGGGGGAAUGGCCUGUUGGUGGAGCAGUCAGAAUACACACAACAAUUAUCGAUUAAGUUCACCGUCUUAUAUGGCUGUGGUUUGUGGUGCCCCAAAACAAUUACAAUAGUCACAUCAAAGAUCACUGAUCACAGAUCCCAUAGCAAAAUUAAUAAUAAGGAAAAAGUUCGAAUAUUGUGAGAAUUAAUGAAAUGUGACACAGAGAUAUGAAGUGAGCAAAUGCUGUUGGAAAAAUGAGGCCAAUAGAUUUGCUCAAUGCAGGGUUGCCACAAACCUGCAAUUUGUAAAAAAAUGCAAUAUUUGCGAAGCACAAUAAAGCCAAACACAAGAAAAUCCCUGUAAUGUAUGGCAUGACCCUGUUCCUGUCACUAACUAGAUUUUACACUCAGCCUCUAAGUUCUAUUGCUGCUUGUUUCCUCAAGGACUUCUCUCCUGCUGCUGUCCCCAGUCUGUCUUGCAUCAUCACUUUUUCCAUGUCUACUGAAUCUUUGCCAACCAAUGUACAAUUAUGCUGUGCCAUUUACAAGCCCCAAAAAAUAUAUUAAUAAGGAAAAACAACUCUCUAGGCUAAAUGAACCUCUUAAGUUACAAUCUCAUGUCUCCAUUAAACAGUAUAGCAAAAAUCCUUGGGAGAAUUUUUUACUCAUUGUUUCCAAUCCCUAUUUCCCAUUCUCUCCUCAACUCUUUCCAUUGCUACCACUCCAUUGGAAACAUUCUUGUCGUGAUCAACACACUCCAGUGUUGCUGAAUCCAAUGGUUUAUUCUCAGUCUGGAAGAGAAUCAAUCUCAACACAGAAUUUUUAUGCAGCUGACCACUCCCUGCACUUACUCUCUCUCAUACACACACACACUAUAUGUAUACACACAUCAUAGGAUAUAUAUGUAUAUGUGUAUAUAUAUACAUAUGUAUGUAUAUAGUGAUAUGUGUGUAUGAGAGAGAGUGAGUCUCUGCUUAUACCACAUUUACCACAUGCAUGUUGACUAAAACAAGUUAUGAGGCCAGAUUCCAGGGGUUGAAAGGCAAAAUCACACUGCAAAUUCAUAGAUACAGGAAAAGGAAGCAUUUGUGGAGAGGUGAUAAGACCUCAUAAGAGGGAAAUAACUAUGUGAUGUGCCUAGACAAAUGGGGCCUUAGGCCGCCUUUCAGAUAUUUCCAGGGCUUCAACAAGGCACAGAAGUAUCAGAAGAUUCCUUUAUACCCAUGAAUGGCACAAAGUUAAUAGAAAGAGCCGAUUAAUAGAGAGGGGCUUUGUGGAUGGGCACAAAGGAUAAUUUGAAAAUGGCUAGCUGAACUAACAGCAUGAUGAGACCUCAUGACUUGGUAUUCAGCAUCAAUGUAGAGAGAAAAAGCUGUGAAGGGCAGAUAAAUUGAAAUAGAUAGAAUGUUCCUAUACCAUGGCAGAGGAGGGGUUUGAAAUAGAAAUUUAGUUGCAAUACAGAAAAUUAAAGAGUGGUCUGUUUUGUCCAUCUCUCAAUUUGUGGUCUAAGAUUCUUUCUCUAGUUGAAUUUUCUACUGUUAUUUAUCUAAUUUGUUCCCUACAGCCAUGGUCAGCCUAGAGUGUUUGGCCAGGGGAAAGGCUGUUUUUAUAGGACAAGGACCAAAACACUGCAUUUUUUCCUUACCUUUUUCCUUAUUUAGGGGGUUCCUUUACCGAAAUCCCACUGCCCUUUGCAAUACUCAGUUUUAGAGCUCUUGACAUGGCCAGCAACUAAGCCAGUGACUUGAGUCCCUGAUGAAUUACACCUCUGUGAGAACAUGAUGGGGCCAGUAGGCUGGGCCUGGGUUACAGCCUGCUCAGCGAACUGUUUGGAAUUGUAUGAUACCUAUUUUAUCUUUUAAUAAUUUUAUUUAUUUUUGUUUAUUCCCUUGCUCUCUUUUCUUUCUCCUCCAGCGUAUUCUAAAUUUUAGCAUGUUUCUCCUUCUUUCCUUCUCUUUUUUGGUUUCUAUUGCUCUCAUUUUUCUAUGACAGAGGUACCUUUGGCGACAAAAGCUAGAGAGCUCAAACUGAAUACUAUGUCAUAUUACACAGCAAAGACGUGUGAAUAUUAAUAGCAUUCCUUCAAUUGGAGUAUGAAAAUAUAUUUAACAGACCUUUAAGUUGCUUCUAAGUUUUUAUCAUUAUAGGUUGAAUAGUGCCAUAAUGAAUAUCUAUCUAUCUAUCUAUCUGUCUGUCUAUCUUAGUGUAUAUCUCUGAUUAUUUACUGGGUAAGAAAAUAUAGUUAAAAAUCUCAUUUAAUAAAUAUUGCUAAAUUGCUCAUCAAUAGUGAGAAUGUCUUUCUAAUGGGGGUAGGGGUACUCUUUGAUACUGAAAUAUCUUUUAAGAUUUGAGAGAAUAAUAUUGCAAAGUCAAGGCAGGCUGUGAAGAUGCUCGUCUUAAGAGCCCCUAUGGGGUGUGGCCCAGGCACUGACAGGAUAGACCAGAAAUGAAACUCAGGGGCUAACCUU